rnacentral:pre_miRNA from 10 species
GCCAACGUCAGGGAAAGGAUUCUGCUGUCGGUCCCACUCCAAAGUUUACAGAAUGGGUGGUGGGCACAGAAUCCGGACUCUGCUUGUGGC